UCGCGGCCUCCCGGGCUGGCCCCGAUCCAUGGCCUCUCCUUCCACCCAGAUCCGAUCCGUCACCGAUCGUCCGUGGCGCGAGCGCCGGGCCUCCUCCUCAAUCUCCUCGUUCUGCGCCGCCCCGAUUGCACUGCGCACACGCGCUCCGGAGCCAUUGCCGUUUUUUGUCGAGUCGCGUGAUCGAUGUCCGACCGGCACCGCAACCGGCCUCUUGUGCAGUUCCCGACCGCCGUCCCCUGCACCUCCUCCCGCGUCUCCCCACCUCGCAUGUGCAGCACCGUUGCUGCACGUCUCCAGCGCCAUCUGCUGCUGCCCCGCAGUCAACCGCUUGCACGCCAUGGGCAGCGGCCAUGGACCAGUUCGACAAGACGAUGGUGCUUGCGGGCGGGAUGCCCCUCGCCGCCGGAACCUUGACCAUACCCUCUGAAGAUGUGGGAGUCCUUGGGCACUCUUGUGUGACGCCUCUGCACUGUCUUUGAGGAGCACGAUGACUACCUGGAGGCCAAGCCGUUCGAUGUGUCCGUCAGGCCCGUACUUUCCUGCCUCUUCCCUGUCCUCCCCUCUUACUCUCAAACUCGAGCACCAACUCGACGGCAAGCACCAAGCAGCAGCUCAACCAAAGCCCGAAAUACAUUGAACGGACAAGUGCUGAACCGGUUCUCUGACUAGCCUGAUUGAUUCAAUCCUCAUGUGCUUGUGUCAAUGCAUGCAAGGGAGCAAGCGUACUGGAGGGAUGGUUGGAAGGAGAGUAAUUUGCUACAAAGCUUAUUAUUUAUGGUUAUUUCCUGAAUCUCUGAUAUAAUAUACGAUACAUUAUGUAGAAACCAAAAUGAUGUUCAUAGAGAUCUCAGAAUUAGGUGAAUAUCAUUUAUGCUUGUGUUAUAUUUUUCAUUUUAUGAUUUAGCACCGCUCGCCAACUAUGGUUACCGUGUGUGGCUUGAAUCCAAUAGCAUGUGAUUGAACAAAUGAACGAAAUAUAGGUGAAACAUUUAAUUUUUAGAAGAGAUGGGUGCUACGUACUUCAGUUCAAGUGUUCCCUAAAUUUUUUUAUAGUUUGCAUUGAGACACAGUAAUUGCUUAAAGCAUGUAUUUGACUGCAAUGUUGCUUGCCGGCAUCUCCACCAUUCAUCUUGUCGCUGAUAGAACCCCAGGCUCUUCCACCUAUAGCAAACAAAUAAAAGGACUUGAUUUAUGGGCUUUUAAAUUGGUUGUAUCUACAUGGAAGGUUACUACAACACUACGCAUAUCUUGCAGAUGUUUUUCUUUUGCUGAAAAUAGUAGGUGAGUAUUAAUCUUCUGCAGGUUUUGUAUUUGACACUAUUUUGUAUGUUUAAAGGAUAAACUUCUAUGGCUCUUUUCACUUCAGCAAGUGAACAACUUGUAUCACUUAUGAUAUUCGUUGUGCUAUACUUAUAACUGAAAUAUGUAGCGUAGCACAUGUUACACUAUCCGCUUGUCCAAAAACUGGAACAGCCAGCCGAUGUUGGGUAGUGGUGUAUCCUUAUAUUUAUGUUGAUAGUUGUUGAGGAUUUGUUGGGUGUAACCUAAAGGACACUUCAUAUGACCCUAUUGCAACCCACGUGCUCUUUUGCUCCGGUUGAUGGAGAAGUUGCAGUAGGCUGAAGACAUCCAUCAAGGCCGAGGACCAGGAGAUGAAACGGUGAGUGACAGAGUGUACUGGUGCAUGUUGUGGCAGCUGUGCAGUUGACCAAUGAGUAUUGGCUCUCAUACCUUCAACUUACUUUUAGAAACUACACAUAUUCGCACAAUGUACUAAUCGUUCAGUGUGCUUUGAUGUAGAGUGGUGUUCUCCAUGUUGUUAGCAUAGGAGUAUUGUUACAAUGGCAACAUAUGAUCGAAAUGCCCAUGUAUCAUAAUUUAUGGUGUACCUGA